rnacentral:misc_RNA from 1 species
AAAAUAAUCCUACCCUUUGUGAAUUUUGUUUGUUUGAAUAAUUUUUUUUUUAAAAAAUUAUUGGAGUCUUUCCCUUUAGUUUGCUUUUGAGUUUGUAAAAGAAUUCGAAAACAUCUAAAGGGGAUGGUCAAUAAUUUUUUUGAAAAAAGACAUUUUUUAAAAUUAAACUUUUUGUAUUCAUUUGUCUAAAAAUUAUUUUUAUAAUAUAAAAACAACUUUUGACAAUGGAUCUCUUGGUUCUCGCAACGAUGAAGAACGCAGCAAAAUGCGAUAAGUAGUGUGAAUUGCAGAAUACGUGAAUCAUCGAAUCUUUGAACGCAUAUUGCACUUUUUUAGUUUACUAAAAAGUAUGUCUGUUUGAGUAUCAGUAAAAUAUUCUCAUAAAAAUCAUUGUGUAUUUUUAUGGUUAUGAGUGUUUUACAACGAUACAAGUUGUUUCACUUUAAAUUUUUUUUUUAAUAUUGAAAUUUUUCUAAUUUUAAUAAUUAAAAUUGGAUAAAAUUUUCCCGUCAAAGGAAUAACCUAAACAAUUUUAAAUGAUUAAUUUUAGCAAAUUUUCGUAAAAAAGGAAAAUUUUAUUAAAAUAACUUGAUCUCAAAUCAGAUAAGAGUACCCGCUGAACUUAAGCAUAUCAAUAAGCGGAGGAAAAGAACUAACAAGGAUUCCCUUAGUAACGGCGAGUGAAGCGGGAAGAGCUCAAAUUUGAAAUCUUCAAGGUUUUACCUUGACGAAUUGUAGUUUAAAGAAGUGUUUUCUGCUGAAGUUUUGGUAAAAGUUCUUUGGAAUAGGACAUCAUAGAGGGUGAGAAUCCCGUAUUUGACCACUAUUUUCAGCUUUGUGAUACACUUUCAAAGAGUCGGAUUGUUUGGGAAUGCAGUCCAAAAUGGGUGGUAAAUUUCAUCUAAAGCUAAAUAUUGGCGAGAGACCGAUAGCGAACAAGUACCGUGAGGGAAAGAUGAAAAGAACUUUGAAAAGAGAGUUAAACAGUACGUGAAAUUGUCAAAAGGGAAGCGUUUGACACCAGUGUUGUUUUCUCGAAAAUCAAUUAAAAAUGGCUCGAUUUUGUAUUGCUGAGACCUUAAAGGCUCACUGUACAUUUUUCGUGUCUUUUUUAAUGCACUUUUCGUUUAACAAGUCAACAUCAGUUUCUUUUGUUGUAAAAGGGUCAUUGGAAGGUGGCUUUCUUUUCGGAGAAAGUGUUUAUAGCCUUUGGCCUCUGCAAUCGGAGAGACUGAGGUCUGCAGCGUAGACUCUUCGGGGUUAGAUACAUUUGUGCUAAGUUAUAGCUUUUAUAGACAACUUGUUGACUAUAAUUAGUCUUGUAGCUUACUCGCUUAUGCUAUUUUACC